GUGAAUAAAUCGCUAUGCUGUUGUAUUUUUGAGCUGGUUUCCGGGCAAAUGGCUAAUGAUCUGGUCAUUCGAGCACUGAAAGCUAAAGCCAAGUCGUUGAAUUUGAGCUCGAGGAACAUUACUGAGCUUUCAAAAGAUUUUGCAAAGUUACCCGAGGUUAGGGAUCUCCGUGUAAACAACAACCGCCUCGUGACUCUGCCUCUGGGGCUGCAGUGUAUGCGACAGUUGACAGAACUUAACCUGGGCAAUAACGCAUUUGAGGAGAUGCCACCAGUCCUGAAGUAUCUACAUAGCCUGAAAAAGCUGCAUUUGUUUGGGAAUCAGAUUUCCACACUGCAUGCAGAGGUUCUGGAGAAUCUUCCAAACCUCAUCCUUCUCAACCUGAACCACAACAAAAUCAAAAUCAUUCCUCCAGCUAUAAAGAGCCUCUCGAAUUUGGAACGAUUCAGUAUUGCAGACAAUCAGCUCGAAGAGAUUCCUGCUGAGUUGGGUCUGGUCAGCAAGUUGAUGGAGAUGAAUUUGUCCAGGAACAAGCUGAGUGAAAUCCCACAGGAGUUGUAUAAGUUAACACGUCUGAGGAAACUGAGCUUAGCUAGAAACGGUCUCAGACAGUUGCCAGAGGGAAUUCCUGGAUGGAAAAACCUGAAGAUGUUAGAUGUUGCAGGUAACCGCCUGUCUAUGUUUCCAGUCAACUUCCACUUUCUUGAGCUGGAAGAAUUCUACUUUGAGGAAAACGAUCUUGUUCGGUUGGAACUGUUCACCUCUGCUAAAGUGAAGGACGUUUUCCCAUUAAAGGAACUUGCUGCCAGAUUCAUCAUGAAAGAACAUUUAAAUAAGUUGUCCAGGGCUUCACUACUCCUUCCAGAUGUACAGACGAUGCUCUCUCAGUCUGGAAGGUGUGCUGUGUGCUUUGAGCCCUUUCUGACCACCUGGGUGGAGUGUGUGCAGUUCAUCAGCUUGCGCAAGGUGCAGAUCCUGUAUUAACACUCCAGAUUCACAAACGAGGAAAAUAAAGCGUAAAAUCAUCCACUGAUCAACCAUAACAUUACUGGACAUGGGGAUAAAAAAUUCCCAGAAUAUUCCAGUCCGAGUGCUGCUGUGUUCCUAUUCCUGCUUCAACAAGAGCGGCCACUCUUACUACAGCGUCGUUAAUGCAAAGCCGUAAGAGGUGGUCUCAUUAUAAUUCCAGUAUGUUCAGGUCCACGUCCAUUCCAGGUCUCCUCUAAUCCUGUCUUGUAGUAGGUCAAAAGCAGGUGAAAUUUAUAUAACUAGUCAGCCACUAGAUGGCAGUGUAUGAUCACUCACUGGCUCUGGAUAUUUCUGUGAAAGAACUUUGUACCUGUAAAAGUUCAUGCCAGUCAUACUGCAUCUGAUCGCUGUGCUUCUGUUUACAUUUAUUAAUGCACAUGGAUCUAUUCUUAUGGACAUGAUCUAUUCUUAUGUGGGAAAUCUUUGAAUAUUUUUACAUUAUGUAUAAAGUAUCAACAUUAUAGGUUGACACAUACAGAGAGAGAGAGAGAGAGAGAGAGAGAGAGAAUACUUAUGUGAUACAGUAAUUUAGAUAGCAUUAAAAGGAAUUAUAAACAUUACAUUACUGUCAUUUAUUCAAGCAGUAGAAGUUUCUCAUCAGGGUCUGCUCAUCUGCUUUAUCCUUGGAAGAGUAGAAGGACGGCAGAGGUGGAAGAGAUGGAGUUCGCCUUUUUUGCUUCAUCAUUUAUUUAAAACAAUGUCCUUCAUCUUCAAGGAAAGUAUCAUCAUAAAAUGCAUAAUAAAUGUAUGUAUGUUUUUAUGAAGGUAAAUGACAAAUAGUUUAAUAAUGCCUAUAUUGCAUGCUUUUAUGACUUACUAAAUAUGUCAUAAGUAAAACUACAAGGAACCUGUAAAUAAUCAAAUCCAUAAAUGUUAAACCCUAGAACUAUUAUUCUCACUAAAUAACAAAAUGAUUUGAAGUAGUUAUUACAUUAAAGCACAAUGUAAAGCAUAUUAAAAGGGCUAAAAUGUAUGUCAGUGUAUAUUUUAGGCACCUUAUUUUGCUACCACUAACCAUGUUCUUCCAAUGUAUUAAUCCUAAAUUACAUUAAAUUGGUCUUGUGUGUGUGUGUGUGUGUGUGUGUAUGCAAAUACAUCCUGUGUUCCAAGAAUAAGUGGUUGCUUAAGAUGAAUGAAUAAUAAUAUAUAAUUUGACACUUUGCAGUUUGCAGUAUUUAUUUUCUAAGCAGCGAGAGCAAUCCAUCAAGGACAUAUUUGUUUAUAAUUCCUGGUAGAGCGAUGACUGAGAAGUCACAUAGUGGGGAAAUGGAGAAAUAUUUAACAAAACAAUUAGUCACUGUAGAAUCAUAUAAUGCACUGUUUUCCUUAUUGCUUGUAUACUGUGCUAUAAAUGUGUUCAUAGUUACCUUAGUGGCAUGAUUGUUAUACGAAUAAACUACAGGGACUGGAUUUGGGUAGAUAUUUUUAAGCAGGAAGAUAUGAAAGCCCAAUCCAUUUGCUUAAUUAGGAGGAACAUCGCUGGUUUCGUACCAAUGACACUAAAAUACAUUGCAGUUAAUGAGAAUCGUUUUCUCCCUCUCUUUAACAACAAUGGCGCUAAUCCUGAAACCUUAUUUAAGGAAUAAAUCACUGUGUCUGUUCAUCCAUACAUUUAACAUAUCAGUGAUCCCAGUAAUAUUCCUCUUUCUACUUCGUCACAUUCACGCAUUUUCAGUUCCAUAAAGCCGUUUAAAAGUAGAUCUUCCUUUGCUAGCACAUAGAUUUCAGUAGCCUAGCUCUCUAUAGAGCAGUCUUCAGUUCUCCAUAUCUACCCUUAGUUCAUCUGUUCAACCUGAGAGAAUUUAAUUUCUCCGAGUUAAUUUCCCAUGCAGGCCCUCUGAGCUCUGAGCACAAUCCAUGGAGUUGGGUCUGAUGAAUAAUGCAGCAGGUUUAAUUGCAAGAGCCAGAAACUAAUGAUUUUGGACUGGUUAACAGCAGGGGAACCAUACAUCUCUGCAAACUGAAUGAAAAAUCAGUUUUUAAAAAAGGGAAUAGGGGAAAACGCUAAUUGAUGAAUAAUUAAAGCUUCAGCUACAGGGCAUAAUUGUGACAUUUUGUUUCAAUCAGUUUUGAAGUACAGGGAAAAGUGCACUAAAGAAAGUAAUGACAACUGUGAGAAUGUCCGGUGCGAAAGAAGGAUUGAGUCACUUAAUUAUACAGUCUUCAGUCAAAGUCUAGAUUAGAAAUUUUUUAUCUGAAAAGAA